UGUGGUACUAUGAACCAGUUGAAAUCACCACAAACAAAAGGGAUGAAGUGACAUUAUUUCCAUGUUCAACACGAGGGGGUUGUAGAGAUUGCAACAGGCCCAGAGCUUCUAGAAUCACCCGCUGAAUGCUCACAGAAUUCUCUGAAACACGGUUAAGAGCUUCAUCUUGGAUGCCUCGCCCUUGCUUGGUGUUGUAAGUGCCUCGCUUCUUGUGGGUGGUGUACCUGUAACUGCCUUCCGCUUGGAGCUUGUCUUCAGACUCAGAGUGGUUUCUUGGAUCAGAGGUAAAUACGCGAGAGACAGCCCAUUAGUUUUGGGCUGGUGGUGAUGCAUGGUCUUGCAGCGAGCAGAGCAUUUUUCCAGGAGCCGUGGAAGCUGUCAAAGGUAAACACGCUGCUGGCCUGCUGGGAGGUUCUUUAGGUUCUUCUAUCAGGAACCAGGUGGAACUGAGAUGGAGAUGAAGCUGAGAAGACUCAGAAAAUGGCAGAUUGGAAUUACAGAGGCACUAAUUUAAAGUCUCUCUUUGAGAAAAAGCUAUACAUAAAAAUCUGUUUACCGAAUCAAAGCCUUUUCAGGGAGAUAAGAUGAACAGAUACGUUUUAAAGAACUUUUAAAGAUCUUAUUGUCUUGUUUUCUCAGUUCCUCAGUUCUACUCAUGUCAGGCUGAGCUGUAUUGUUUUUCCCCUAAACCUCAAUAAAGUAUU